rnacentral:rRNA from 1 species
CCUACGGGAGGCAGCAGUGAGGAAUAUUGGUCAAUGGGCGAGAGCCUGAACCAGCCACGUCGCGUGAAGGAUGAAGGAUCUAUGGUUUGUAAACUUCUUUUAUAUGGGAAUAAAGUGAGGAAGUUGUUCCUUUUUGUAUGUACCAUAUGAAUGAGCAUGGGCUAACUCCGUGCCAGCAGCCGCAGUAAUACGGAGGAUGCGAGCGUUAUCCGGUUUUAUUGGGUGUAAAGGGCGCGUAGGUGGUUAAUUAAGUCAGCGGUGAAAGUUUGUGGCUCAAACAUAAAACUGCCUUUGAAACUGGUUGACUUGAGUACAGUUGAGGUAGGCGGAAUGCGUGGUGUAGCGGUGAAAUGCAUAGAUAUCACGCAGAACUCCGAUUGCGAAGGCAGCUUACUAAACUAUAACUGACACUGAAGCACGAAAGCGUGGGGAUCAAACAGGAUUAGAUACCCCUGUAGUC